rnacentral:rRNA from 1 species
UUAGCGGCGGACGGGUGAGUAACGCGUGGACAACCUGCCCUAUGCAGGGGGAUAACAUCCGGAAACGGGUGCUAAUACCGCAUAAGCGCACAGUACCGCAUGGUACAGUGUGAAAAGCUGAGGCGGCAUAGGAUGGGUCCGCGUUGGAUUAGGCAGUUGGCGGGGUAACGGCCCACCAAACCGACGAUCCAUAGCCGGCCUGAGAGGGUGGACGGCCACAUUGGGACUGAGACACGGCCCAGACUCCUACGGGAGGCAGCAG